rnacentral:precursor_RNA from 1 species
UUACUGAGAGUUUCGAAAAUUGAGAGCGAGCUGCCAUUUUCGACUUUCUCAGUAACG